AGCCGGACGCGGGUAGCUUGGCCGUUCCUUGCUCUGCGCAUCGCUUGAAAACCGGCGGUCAUCCUGCAGUGUACGCUGCCAGCGUGCUUUCUUGCCAGAGCCGCCUCCCCUGCUGGUGAUGACCAUAUGCAGCCAAUGCUGAUGUGAACCCGAGUGAUGAACAAAUGCAGCAUGCCUGGAAAAGUACUUCAAAGCACACCCCAUCUGGCUGACUGCAC
rnacentral:lncRNA from 1 species